CCCCCCACAAUCUCAGGCUGCCCGUACUAGAUGCUUCCAUCGGUUUCUUCUUUCUUCUACAGCCGUAUAACCAAGAUUGACUUCCGUAAGUGGUGAGAAGAGAGAGUGUGAUGCGAGUUUGCUGCCGAUAAGAAAGAAAGGGACUGUGAUAGAGGUCGAAAGAGACUCUGAGAGCGAAGAGGCUCUUUUGCUUUAACCACAACACUCCAAUAGCUCAAGUGAAACUCGCCUGCAGUCUAUUUGUUCUCUUGAUUUGAAGAUGAAGUUCUCUAAUCUGACGAUCCGUACUAUACCAUUUAAAAGAAACUUGAAAAACAAACAUAUUCAUCAGAAGCUUGGUUGAGACGGAGGGACGAGAAGAUCGAGGAGGACGAAGAUGGAACUGGGUCUUAAGAUACUCUAAAUGGUCCAAGUGAGGGAUAGAAGAGAGGGGAAGAUCUCGGCGAUAAUAGACCGGGUUGAAGGUAUUUUUGCUCUUUUGGUGGCUUUGAUGUUCAAUUGUGUGAAGAGAGAUGACAUUGAUUGCUCUCCUUACGAAGAGGGCGAGUGGAGAUAUUGAAGGGUUGAGUAGUUUUGAUGGGGAGGUUCUUUAGUCGACCAGAUUCAAAUCCGGGGUUGACUUCAAGAACAACAAUGUUUUGGUGGUUGGCUCUGGGAAUUCUGGCAUGUAAAUUGCUUUGGAUCUGGCAAACAAUGUUGCAAAGACUUCAAUCAUUGUUCAAAGCCCGGAAAGUUUCAGAAACUCAGAAAUUUGAGGAGAUUAGGAGAGAAUUUGUAUCAGCAGAGUCAAGGUUGUUCACUCUUGGGAAUACAUGAUACACCAACAUUACAGGCAAAGGAAAGACUUUUUCUUGAUUGAAAAUUGCGGAUUUUAAACAUGUCAAAGGUUAUAUCACAGUGGAAGUUUACAAGGAUGGUUCUCCAGAGGUUGUGGAUAGAUUUCUCGAUUUAUGGUUUUAUUCAGAAUCUUAUCAAGAGGAAGCAACUAAUUGAUGCUGUUAGAUGCAUUUGCAUCUUGCAGUUAAUUGACAAGUUCUGCCAAAAAAAAAAAAAAAGAAUUUAUCCAACCUCUGACUGCAUACAUGGCUCCAUACACUCUAAACAAAAAAGUAAUUACACUAUUGGUUCAUCACAACCUCAACCAACCAUUACAAAGUUCAUUCAGCACAAACUGGAAGAAAAAGAGGAGGAAAGAAGUGAAAACAUAGGACAAAAUGAUCUUCUUGCACGAUACAGAAUAAUCUGCUACCUCCAAUACAAAAACAGCAUCACAGGCUACAUUCAUAGCAACUUUGAAUCUAGCUGCCACAUUCAUUGGCAAGAGUCACCACAACAUUCAUAUCGGUCAGGUUGAAGAGAUACUUGGAGAUGAGGCAUGUUGAUGGAAAGCUGGCCUUCGAGAAGCUUAUCUGCUUUACUUGCAUUUGGGGACUGAACCAUAAUCUGGAUCAAUUUUCAGUGAGAUUAGUGGAACAACAAGCCACAAAACCUCAAAUUUUCAAGCCAACAUUUAUCAAACACUUCUCAUUAUUGUGUUCUAUUUAUAGCAUCAUUAAACUAUACAUACCAAGUUUGAUUUGAAGUUAUUAAUUCCAGUGAGAACUUCAUGUAACGUGUUCUAAUCAUGCAGCUAAAAAUUCAAAAGCUGUACCAACCUCAAAGGCUAUGUACAUCUUCUGAAUUCUUUAACUGCAUGAUUAAAACAGGUUACACGAAUUUCUCCACCGGAAUCAAUAAAUUCAAACCAAACCAAAUCUGUAAAUUUCAACAAAACAUUUAAACUUCAGUUAUUCCAAUAACAUAUAACAAUAAUUCCCGCAGCAAAGCGCGGGCACUCUUUCUCGUAUAUUGCAAUUUUGAUACAUUCUCUAUAUACUAAACGUGAGUUGCACUGUUUUACUGUUCAUAAGAGCUACAGUGCCUUGGGGUCAAAAAAGAUUGUUCUGCCCUCCUUUGAGAUAUUUUUGUUGUUGUAGUGUGUAUCGAUGGAUCUUCUUCUCUCUUCUAGAGCCCUCUACUGUAAUCCCUCCCUCACACCCUAAAGUCAAAAUCCACCUCAAAACCCAAAAAUCACAACAAAAAAGAGCAACAGAGAGAGAGUUGUGAGCAGCAAGAACAGGACCAUAGCUUCCAAAACAGAGCCGACCAGAAGCUUCAAAACCAGAGCCGACCCAGACGAGCACAAAGCCACCAUCUUUGCUGCACAGUAGUGAAGGUUGACCUGGGAUUGACGACGAAGAGACUCUUUGGUUGAUCAUGAACUUGACUUGGUUUGCUUAAAUCUCGGACUCCUCCUCUGCAAAUCAGCUCAGUGAAAUAUGUGUUCUUCAGUCCAGAGAAAGAGGCGAGAUGAAAGAAAGGGAGAAGAGAACCCGGGAAGAAGGAAGAGAAAGAGAAGAGACAGACCGGAAGCUCUUGACUAAAACAACACAAAGUGGAAGGUUUCGCUUGCUAUUUUUGUUAUUGCGUUUCACUUUAUGAGUAUUGUUGUUUUCAGUUUUCCAUUAUUGAAAUGAUUGAGGCUGAAUUAGUGUGGUGUUUCCAGUCAAAAACAUAAUUGUAUCCUGCAAGUAGUUUCACAGUUGUUUACAAUCGUUAUCUACUCAUCGGAUUAUGGCUCUUUCAUGGAAUUGUUUAGUUGGUUUUCUAGAUUUGUGGAUUCUGCAGACGAUUCUUAAUAUCUGUAAAACAGUAAGCUUAGAAGUAAUGUGGGGAAAUUCCUCUUAGAGAUCUGUAAAACAAUAAGCUUAGAAUUUUCGCUUGAUCUCAUCAAUAUUAGACAACUUUGAUUGGGACCUUUGAGGAAUGUGCAGUUGAAAUGGCACAUCUCAAAGGUAAAUUUUUUUUUUUUUUGGGAUGAAAUUGCACUUUCAUUUCCCCAAGGAGAUGAGAGACAAAGCUAGGUUUUUUGACAGCUCCUGCAGUUUAUGUUGCUGUUUUUAAAGAAAAUCUGACACUGCCCAAUCGCCAUUUCCGUGUAUCAUCUUAGCCAAAGCUAGCUUUCUCUUAAAAUAUGCAAAAGGAAAGUUUUUAUCUGCAAAUAUGAAAGUUUAGAACAUUGAUUUUUGAAAAAUGAAAUCUUUAAGCAAAGGCCUCCCAUCUGGUUUCUUUUGAUAGCUCUCUGGCUCUUACCCGAGAGCGCCUACUAACUCCAAUAUGUAAUCUAAUCAAAAACGUCUUUUAGCUCAUUUGUUUUGUGCGCGAGUCUUCAAGGUCUUUACUCUGCAAAGUUUAAGUUCUUUACCUUUCCAUAGCAGUUUAAGUUUGAUUACAUUUGGCGGUUUGCUUUGGCUCUUGCUUUUGUCUAAAAUGUCGUUAUUAACGAUUGUAACUAAAGGUUCUCAUAAUUAAUAUAAUAUCGGAUAUGAUGGAAGAAGUUCAAAGUGAAACAAUUUGAAUUGUUUUGGAUUACAAAUAUACUUCAUUUCAAAUUCAUUGAUAUCACGUAGAGCCUGUGAGAUGGCUCGAUAGUUAGUUUAUUGUUUGAAUGCCUUUCUGCCUCAAAAUGGAAUAUUUUCUCAAACUAAGGGGCAGAAAAAAGAGUUGUAUUCUUGCCAUAAAUGCAUUUUGGAUUGCAGGACUCUUUGCUUUAUGGUUAGUUAGGAUAUUUCUGCUCAGGUUUGUGAUCACCUUUGAAUUAUGUUAUCAAUUGUUUUGAACCAAAGAACAUGCAUAGAUAUAGUUUGCAUAAAAUCUGACACUAGACAUCUAUUAAACAGCACCAACAAUCUGUAUUAGUUGCUAGAUAAGACUGAACCAUAUUUCAAACUAAGAAUCUAUUAAAGGGAUGCAAGUCUGGUUUUUUUUUUUUCCUUCUUUUCAGAGUUAUUUACUUUCAAUUUGUGAAAUUUGAUGCUUCUCUUUUUUAAUUUCUCCUUCUUAUGGAAUUCAAAAUUCAAUAUAUCUGUAUGAACUUGAGUCAGAAUAGGAAGAUCAUAUUACUCUACCAAAACUUACAAACUCUGCCUACAUUUUGUACCUUCUGGUAAUGAUUAUUACUGGGAUUUUAGUUUGCUUCUUAAUGUCAUUCUAAAAGGUCAACUAUAGUACUCAGCUCUUAAAAUCUGAUUUGAGUAUCUCCUACACUACAGUUCACAAAUCAAAAUGAGAAAAAAAAAAAAA